rnacentral:rRNA from 1 species
UACGGAGGGGGCUAGCGUUGUUCGGAAUUACUGGGCGUAAAGCGCGCGUAGGCGGACCUGCAAGUCGGGGGGUGAAAGCCCGAGGCUCAACCUCGGAACUGCCUUCGAUACUGCGGGUCUCGAGUCCGGGAGAGGUGAGUGGAAUUCCAGGUGUAGCGGUGAAAUGCGUAGAUAUCUGGAGGAACACCGGUGGCGAAGGCGGCAUCCUGGACCGGUAUUGACGCUGAGGCGCGAAAGCUAGGGGAGCAAACGGG